rnacentral:rRNA from 1 species
UGGUGGCGAUAGCGAAGAGGUCACACCCGUUCCCAUGCCGAACACGGAAGUUAAGCUCUUCAGCGCCGAUGGUAGUUGGGGGCUUCCCCCUGCGAGAGUAGGACGCCGCCAAGCG